AUAGUUUGAUUCUAGCUAUUAUGUUAUUUUUCUUUAUACAAGUACAUGAAAUAAUUAAACACCCUACAAACACACACUCUCUAAAAGAUAUUUAACAUUUAAAUUAAAUGAAGUGCCUCAGUACAUAAUUCUAUAAUAAUCAAAAAUUGAGUAAUGGUAAUAAAGAGAUAGGCCGGCCAAAUUCGUGCCAGCCGCCGCGGUUAGACGAUAGGCUAAAAAUAACAUCUAAAGGCUGCAUGUUAAAAUAUAGACAAAUUAAACAAUAUGAGAGGUUUAAUUCAUAUCAUCCUAGUUUCGAUGUUGUCUUAUACGAAAACAUAAAACCAUAAAUUAAAACAAGGAUUAGAUACCCUUCUAUUUAUGGCAUACCUAAAGCCGGAUAAUACGAACAACAGUUUAAAAUCCAAAGAACUUGGCGGUAUCUUAUAAAAUCAGGGGAACCUGUCUCUUAAUUCGAUAAUCCACGAACGUCUUCACCUUAUUUUGAAUAACAGCCUGUGUACUGCUGUCGUCAGUAAACCUCUAAAAGAAAGUUUACAUAUAUACAACAUAUAUUCACGUCAAGUCAAAGUGCAGCUAAUAUUAAGGGGCAGAUGGGUUACAAUCUAAAAAUAGAUACGGAAGUACAUAUUUAAUAUAUUGCCGAAGGUGGACUUGAUAGUAAUGACCUAAAAUCAUGAAAAUUAAUCUAAGAUAUGCACACAUCGCCCGUCACUCUCGUCUAAAGAUGAGAAAAGUCGUAACAUAGUAGACAUAACGGAAGUUGUGUCUGU
rnacentral:ncRNA from 1 species